CCCUACGGGGCGCAGCAGUGAGGAAUAUUGGUUAAUGGUCGGGAGACUGAACCAGCCAAGCCGCGUGAGGGAUGAAGGUACAGAGUAUCGUAAACCUCUUUUGUCAGGGAACAAAGGCGGGGACGUGUCCCCGGAUGAGUGUACCUGAAGAAAAAGCAUCGGCUAACUCCGUGCCAGCAGCCGCGGUAAUACGGAGGAUGCGAGCGUUAUCCGGAUUUAUUGGGUUUAAAGGGAGCGCAGGCGGUCUGUUAAGUCAGCGGUCAAAGCCCGGGGCUCAACCCCGGCCCGCCGUUGGAACUGGCAGU
rnacentral:rRNA from 1 species